rnacentral:tRNA from 3 species
GGGCUGUUAGCUCAGCGGUAGAGCGCUGCCUCGACAAGGCAGAUGUCGCAAGUUCGAUCCUUGCACGGCCCACCA